CGUAAAGAACUGACUGAGAUAUACAAGAAAGUGAUAGAGGAAUGUGAUGCAUUGAAAGAGAAGCUGAUGACAUUGGACGAUAGUACAAAGAAAUUCAGCUGUAAUUAUGAUAGGAAGAAGGGAUAUUCAUCCCGAAAACAUGUUUCAGCUGUCAGAGAUUUUCUUUUAGGAUGCGGACCAGUUACGAGAAGAUGAAAAAG
rnacentral:lncRNA from 1 species